UGCAGUCGAACGGCAGCACGGGAGCAAUCCUGGUGGCGAGUGGCGAACGGGUGAGUAAUACAUCGGAACGUGCCCAAUCGUGGGGGAUAACGCAGCGAAAGCUGUGCUAAUACCGCAUGAGAUCUACGGAUGAAAGCAGGGGACCUUCGGGCCUUGCGCGAAUGGAGCGGCCGAUGGCAGAUUAGGUAGUUGGUGGGGUAAAGGCCUACCAAGCCUGCGAUCUGUAGCUGGUCUGAGAGGACGACCAGCCACACUGGGACUGAGACACGGCCCAGACUCCUACGGGAGGCAGCAGUGGGGAAUUUUGGACAAUGGGCGCAAGCCUGAUCCAGCCAUGCCGCGUGCAGGAUGAAGGCCUUCGGGUUGUAAACUGCUUUUGUACGGAACGAAAAGGCUCUUUCUAAUAAAGAGGGCUCAUGACGGUACCGUAAGAAUAAGCACCGGCUAACUACGUGCCAGCAGCCGCGGUAAUACGUAGGGUGCGAGCGUUAAUCGGAAUUACUGGGCGUAAAGCGUGCGCAGGCGGUGAUGUAAGACAGUUGUGAAAUCCCCGGGCUCAACCUGGGAACUGCAUCUGUGACUGCAUUGCUGGAGUGCGGCAGAGGGGGAUGGAAUUCCGCGUGUAGCAGUGAAAUGCGUAGAUAUGCGGAGGAACACCGAUGGCGAAGGCAAUCCCCUGGGCCUGCACUGACGCU
rnacentral:rRNA from 1 species